rnacentral:rRNA from 1 species
CAUUUCGGUUACUUAACACAUGCAAGUCGAACGGUCUCUUCGGAGAUAGUCGCGCGGACGGGUGAGUAACGCGUGAGAAUCUAGCUUCAGGUCGGGGACAACCACUGGAAACGGUGGCUAAUACCGGAUGUGCCGAAAGGUGAAAGAUUUAUUGCCUGAAGAUGAGCUCGCGUCUGAUUAGCUAGUUGGUGUGGUAAGAGCGCACCAAGGCGACGAUCAGUAGCUGGUCUGAGAGGAUGAUCAGCCACACUGGGACUGAGACACGGCCCAGACUCCUACGGGAGGCAGCAGUGGGGAAUUUUCCGCAAUGGGCGAAAGCCUGACGGAGCAAUACCGCGUGAGGGAGGAAGGCUCUUGGGUUGUAAACCUCUUUUCUCAGGGAAUAAAAAAAUGAAGGUACCUGAGGAAUAAGCAUCGGCUAACUCCGUGCCAGCAGCCGCGGUAAUACGGAGGAUGCAAGCGUUAUCCGGAAUGAUUGGGCGUAAAGCGUCCGCAGGUGGCACUGUAAGUCUGCUGUUAAAGAGCAAGGCUCAACCUUGUAAAGGCAGUGGAAACUACAGAGCUAGAGUACGUUCGGGGCAGAGGGAAUUCCUGGUGUAGCGGUGAAAUGCGUAGAAAUA